CUGGGUGUGGCGCAGUUGGUAGCGCGCUACCUUGGGGUGGUAGAGGCCGUGGGUUCAAGUCCCGUCACUCAGA
rfam:Ruminococcus flavefaciens strain YL228 genome assembly, contig: IE39DRAFT_scaffold00001.1